AGCAGUCGCCGCGGUAAAACGAAGGGUGCAAGCGUUAAUCGGAAUUACUGGGCGUAAAGGGCUCGCAGGCGGUUUCUUAAGUCUGAUGUGAAAGCCCCCGGCUCAACCGGGGAGGGUCAUUGGAAACUGGGAAACUUGAGUGCAGAAGAGGAGAGUGGAAUUCCACGUGUAGCGGUGAAAUGCGUAGAGAUGUGGAGGAACACCAGUGGCGAAGGCGACUCUCUGGUCUGUAACUGACGCUGAGGAGCGAAAGCGUGGGGAGCGAACAGGAUUAGAGACCCCUGUAGUCCCUGUCUCUUAUAC
rnacentral:rRNA from 1 species